AUUGAACGCUGCGGCAGGCUUAACACAUGCAAGUUGAGCGAGCGGCGGACGGGUGAGUAAUGCUUAGGAAUCUGCCUAUUAGUGGGGGACAACAUCCCGAAAGGGAUGAUAAUCCCGCAUACUAAUAGAUGAGAAUACGUCGGAUUAGGUAGUUGGUGGGGUAAAGGCCUACCAAGGCGACGAUCUGUAGCGGGUCUGAGAGGAUGAGCCGCCACACUGGGACUGAGACACGGCCCAGAAGCCUACGGGAGGAAGCAUGGGGGAAUAUUGGACAAUGGGGGGAACCCUGAUCCAGCCAUGCCGCGUGUGUGAAGAAGGCCUUAUGGUUGUAAAGCACUUUAAGCGAGGAGGCGUUACUCGCAGAAUAAGCACCGGCUAACUCUGUGCCAGCAGCCGCGGUAAUUC
rnacentral:rRNA from 1 species